rnacentral:rRNA from 1 species
CAGGAUGGACCCGCGUCUGAUUAGCUAGUUGGUAAGGUAACGGCUUACCAAGGCGACGAUCAGUAGCCGACCUGAGAGGGUGAUCGGCCACAUUGGAACUGAGACACGGUCCAAACUCCUACGGGAGGCAGCAGUGGGGAAUAUUGCACAAUGGGCGAAAGCCUGAUGCAGCAACGCCGCGUGAGUGAUGAAGGCCUUCGGGUCGUAAAACUCUGUCCUCAAGGAAGAUAAUGACGGUACUUGAGGAGGAAGCCCCGGCUAACUACGUGCCAGCAGCCGCGGUAAUACGUAGGGGGCUAGCGUUAUCCGGAUUUACUGGGCGUAAAGGGUGCGUAGGCGGUCUUUCAAGUCAGGAGUGAAAGGCUACGGCUCAACCGUAGUAAGCUCUUGAAACUGGGAGACUUGAGUGCAGGAGAGGAGAGUGGAAUUCCUAGUGUAGCGGUGAAAUGCGUAGAUAUUAGGAGGAACACCAGUUGCGAAGGCGGCUCUCUGGACUGUAACUGACGCUGAGGCACGAAAGCGUGGGGAGCAAACAGGAUUAGAUACCCUGGUAGUCCACGCUGUAAACGAUGAGUACUAGGUGUCGGGGGUUACCCCCCUCG